UACGUAGGGGGCGAGCGUUACCCGGAUUUACUGGGCGUAAAGCGCGUGUAGGCGGCUGGCCAAGCGUGGUGUGAAAUCUUCGGGCUUAACCCGAAAACUGCAUUGCGAACUGGUCUGGCUAGAGUGUGUGAGAGGGUAGUGGAAUUCCCGGUGUAGCGGUGAAAUGCGUAGAUAUCGGGGAGGAACACCAGUGGCGAAAGGCGGCUACCUGGCACAUAACUGACGCUGAUACGCGAAAAGCGUGGGGGAGCGAACCGG
rnacentral:rRNA from 1 species